CAAUGAUUCGGAACUUGAAAAGUGGUAGCUUUAUGAAUUCUCCUUAAGAAGAAACCUGUGCCCCGAUCUUGCCUACUCACCCAAAGGCACUGUGAGAUAGCAUCAAAGGAACAGCUAGUAAGAGACACAGAGCCAGAAAUCAGGGAAGUAAAAUACACUUGACAUCUACAUUCGGAAAGAAAUUUUAGGAGGCAGAAGCAAAUGGAUCAGAAGCUGCUUAUAUUUUUGCAAGAUUACCAAAGAAACCAUUGGUGGAGAAAGUUCUGUGACCAACUUGUCUGAGUCUAGCUCCGGAAAGCUGCCUAAAGUAGAUGGAGUCUUCUCUGUGUGUGCCCCACUGGUCCUGCAGUUGAAGGAUCCGGUAAAGCAGCCUGCCCUGGGUUUUACACUCCAGAGGAACGUGAUUCGCUGGACUAAAGCAUUGAAGUGCAUCCUGUUUCCGGGGGGCACUGGAACAGAGCCUGGUCUGUUCUAGCCAGUCCCUUUCUAUCUCAGGAUGUUGCAUUCCCAGUACAUUCUACAGUUAUUCUUGAGAACUAUAAUCAAAUAAGCAGGGAGAACUGGGAAAGCAGAGGCUCAUCGUGGAACCCUCAAGGAGCAUGUGGUCGUCUUCAUCCCUCAGUUUAUAAAUGGCCAAGGAGAGUAAUGCAACAAAAACUUCUCAGACUUAAGAGCCAGAGUUCCUAAAGAACCGUGGACAAAGGGUUCUGUCUAGUGGGCAGAAUUCAUCCAGCGAAGGUGCUUACUGCACUCCCAGCAUGUGCUUGGGAACUUUAUUAAAAUUCCUUCCUAUUGAGAUUUAAAUUGCUGUCCAGAAUUAUACAAUAUAAUGAAUGGGGGCAUUCAUUAUGUGUAUUCUAUGCCUUCUCCAUCAUUGCAUAUUCAGUCCUCGUGCUAGAGAGAGGCAGAUAAUCUACCUUUUAAAUUUAUAGGUCUCCUAACUACAGAGGGUCACAUCUGGAUCUGAUGGUACCUACAGAACUUGGACUCUGAGCGACAAUCAGUGACCAGGUGUGACUUUAUAUUAUCUCUGUCAGGGAAGGGUGAGAGUGUUCAGUGUGUGAACAUAGAAUAAAAUGGUCUGGUGACCAAAAGGCUCUAUUAAAGAUAAUAUGAGAUGUUCAAAGCACUGGCUAUUUUCUUGGGAACAAAAGUUGAACUUCUAAAUCUUUCUCACAGAUUGUAGACCAAAGGAAUGAAUUCUGAUUGGCAGAAUAUAAGCCUACGUAAUAUAAAAAAGACUUCCAGGUUUGGCCCUCUGAGUCUUGACUCAUUACACACCAUCUCACAGCCUUAUUUUGCCUUUCAGCAGGAAAUUUGGAACCUAGGUUUUCCCAACCUACAUCUACAAAAUGGAAUGGGUCUGAUUCACAAGUUUUCAGAGAAAGAAGCCAACCUUAAUCAGACUGUGAUAUGAUGAGGAAAUAAAAAUUGCUGUGCUAAUCAACUGAUACUGGGAAGCAUGUUUAUUAUAAUAACAUAGUCUAUGCUUAACUUUUCGAAGAAACUAAUGAUCUGGAAUAUCGAUAAAAAGAAAAAAGAAAGAAAGCAAAAGGACAGAAAGUUUUAGUGAGAAUAUGUCACUAAAAGAAAAAUACAAAAAUCUCCAGGUAAUUGUUCUUGUCUGUCACUAUAAUCAAAGUGGUAUUUCACCCCCCAUCUGUUGUCCCUGCUUUGAUGAGUGAGAAUAGAAGAGCAGUUCCUGGUUACAUGUUGGCAACAGGAGGGUAUAAAUAUCAAAUUGCCUUAAGCACUGGCAAAGGCUUAAGAGUCCAUCCUAAAUUGAGGGAUUAUCCAGUACCCUGUUUAGAAUGGAAAUAAAUCCUUGCACAGUACUUUCAACUCAAUAACUGAAAAAAUGCAGAGAGCAAAUUCAACAAUUUGUAUUACCAACAGCCAGCUGAGUCCAACUUUCUAAAUCCAUUGGAAAACAGAAAAGCAGAAAAGCAGAAAAACAGGCAUCAGUAACUGUCCUAAAAAGUGAAGGACUCAGGAGGCUGAGGCAGCAGAAUCACUUGAACCCAGGAGGCAGAGGUUGCAGUGAGCCGAGAUGGUGCCACUGCACUCCAGCCUCGGCGACAGAGCGAGACCGUCUCAAAAAUAAAAAAAAAAAAAAAAUGUGAAGGACUGAGGGAAAGAAACAGAAUAGACCAUAAUGAGUCAGAUGCGAGAUAAGAGAAACAGGGCCCGGAACAUAUGCCCUCAGAUAGAAUAAGAACAAUAUCAAAGAUGAAAAUCCAAGAAAACACCUUGAGGAAAAUAAGAUGAUAGUAAUACUAAAUAUAUAUGUUAAAGGACUAAUUUUAAUGAGAUACCUUCACAUAGGUAGGAAGAAAAAUAAAUUCAAUGUGCAGAUAUUCCUUAUGUAUAUACCAAUGAAAGUAAAGAGACAGAUAAAAUAAGUCAGGCAAAUGCUAACAUAAGAAAAUAGAGUCACAUUAUUUAUUUUGUAAUUUGAUAUCUGAAUAUUAAAAACUUACACCUUCAAAGUGCAGAUAUAACUCCCAUGAAUGUUGACACACUAAGUAACAGUAAAAUACAUUAAGCCAAUUAGAACUGUAAGAAAAAGGAAAGCAACACAGAAUAAAAACAAGACUCAGUAGGUGAUCUUUAUCUAGAAUCAGAACAAUUAAAAUAAAAUAAUGACUGGAGAAAAACUGAAGUAAGUACUAUGUUUAAUGCCUGUAAGCAAAUAUACGUAUUUUGAAUUGUGACAUGAUUAAAAAAGAACAUAUGAUUUUCAAGUGUUCAUAUAACACAUUGAAAAAUUAAGCAUAAACUCCCCGAAAUUCUUAUACCUAAAUGUCAUAAAAUAAGUACCAAUCAUACCAACUACUUUUCUGAACAUAAUGCAGUGAGAUCUAUAAAACAACUGAUAUUUUGUGGCUGUUGUUUACCGCAUCAAAAGAAGACUAAUAAAGCAAUGUAUUUACCCUGUGAAUGUAUAUGUUCAAAUAAUUUAUAUAGACUGUACACAUAAUAUUCUUUUAAUUUUCUUUAUAUUUCUUCUUAUAUAUCCAUUUUCUAAAAUAGUGAGUUAUGCUUUUAUUCACUAGAUUUUUUUCUGUUUAAAUUUGUUUAGGUAUUAUAUUUGAUAUUUUAUUAAUUUCUGUAUUGAUGUUUAUCAUUUACUUCUUCCAGUUUUCAAAUAUUUUAUGAUUAAAAUUAUAGAUCAUUGUUUUAAGACCAUCUUAUGUAAAUAGCAAAGGUUUGAUUUGUAAUGAUUUUAUAAAUAUACAUAUUUUAAUAUAAUCAAAUUGUUAAUAUGCUGGUCUACACAUUUGCCUUUAGUUUCCAUUUUUACCCAAGAUACGCUAGACAAAUAUUUUCAUGUUAUUCUAAAGAUUAGAAUUUUUAUUUUGCUGUCAAUAGCUCUUUAAUAUCUUUCAUAUGUUCUAUCUACCUAUAUCUCUGUGUGAUCUUUGUUAAACCCAUAUUCUGAGGUUUAGAUUUCCCAACCACCCAAUACUGGUGGAAAUUCUGAUAGUUUUUGAAACCAUGUCUCAAGACUUGUCCCAUGGAAAAUAAAGGAAAUCUCUAUUCUGUCAUUGGCUGGGAACUGCUCUAGGGUGUUUACAUCCCUGGCAAUUUUUAUUUUUCUCAUGUUGAGCCUGAAAGAAAGUCACCGAUCAUGAAAUGCGAGCAUGGACAGGGACAAUUAGUCCAAAGGGAAAAAUUAGAGACACUGACUGUUCCAUUAUACGUAACUAUAUACCUAGUCACUCAAUAUAAUGAAGAGUUUCAUAAUUAGUCAAAAUGAAAUUGAACCAUAUUAAUUCUACAUGGAACAAUUCAAAAUGAAUUUAGUCUGGGUAUAGAUGGUAAAGAGAAAAAGUGAAUUUAAUUAGAACACAAUUUCAAUCAAAUUAAGUCUUUGCAUGAGUUAUCAAGGACACAAUAAAUAACUGAACAAUUCCAAAGAGUUACUUUCAUAGUAAUUUCAAAUAAUGCUCUAAUUAUCUCGAA
rnacentral:lncRNA from 10 species